CACUUUCACAUCACAUUCACACGAUUAUUGAUACAGACAGUGAAUGAAACGAAUGCAGUGGUUAUACUGAUUAUACUUAUAGUGACGAUACUAGAUCUACUUAUACUAGUUAUAGAUCUACCAGUUGAUAAUCAUCAUCACCAUAGAUAAUAAUCUACAUCUAUAAUCAUAGUGCCCUUUAUUUAGUCAAUAUAGUCAAGUCAAGAUAGUGGAACGUAAACUCGAAGGUUUAAUACAAUAUGUUAUUAACAAGUAGAACCAUGCCAACCAGUUCUGAUGAUGUACCAGAAUGGCUCAAGGAUCAUACUUAUACUAUUUCUACUCUCUGGGCAGACAUUAAUAAUAUUGGCAUCCAUUCAAUAUUUAAUUUAUGUUUGGAAAUGCAAGAAAAAGUCAUGCAUUCCUGAAAAGUCAAUGAUUGGUUGCACCUCUUAAAGGUAAGGUACUGCAAUUCUUCCCUAUGUACUUUUCUCAUAAGCUGAAGUACUUGUAUUUUUGAAAAACUAAUUUUCCAUGAAAAUGUAAAUCAUAAUAUAUGUUUUAGUUGCUUUUAGAUUAGUUCAAUGUGCAUCAAAUUAACUGAACAUCUGCCUUCACCUAUAGUAAUAAUUCAUAACUAUUAAGGUCAGGGCCAUGUCUACACAUAAACGCAGUAGCUCCUUUUAGGUACAGACUAUUUUUAGAAUGGC